AUAAAAGGAUAUGAGUAGAACCCAGAGCUGCUGUGGUGUCUCGGAGGCAGAGCUCAGGGCGUCCACACCAUGGCCUGGACCCCUCUCCUGUUCCCCCUCUUCAUCCUCUGCACAGGCUCCGUGGCCUCCUAUGAGCUGACCCAGCCGCCAUUAGUGUCCGUGGCCUUGGGACAGACGUCCAAGAUCACCUGCUCUGGAGACCUACUGGACAAAAAAUAUACAUAUUGGCACCAGCAGAAGCCAGGCCAGGCCCCUGUGCUGGUCAUUUAUGAGGACAGCAAGCGGCCCUCAGGGAUCCCAGACCGAUUCUCUGGUUCCAGCUCAGGCAAAAUUGCCACCCUGACCAUCAGCAGGGCCCAGGCUGAGGACGAGGCUGACUAUUACUGUGGGUCAGCUGACAGCAGUGAUUAUGUUCACAGUGACACAGGCAGACAGGGAAAUCUACAGCACAUCUCACUGCGACCACCCACAUUGCAUGUUCAGAAGCCUCCUUGGCUUGUGGCCACCAUGUUGGACAGAGCAGGUGAGAUGGAUGAGGUCUCCUUGGGGUAA